AUGGUGAAGGACACCGCGUACUACGAUACCUUGGGGGUCAGCACCGACACCUCCGCGGCCGAGAUGAAGAAGGCGUAUUACGUCAAGGCCAGGUGGGUUCAUCCAGACAAGAAUCCCGGGGACCCUGAUGCCGCGCGCGAGUUUCAGGAAUUAGGUGAGGCCUAUCAAGUCCUAUGUGAUCCAGUGAAAAGGGAUUCUUAUGAUAGCAGUGGAAAAGAAGGUUUAUCCCAGGAUAAUAUGAUUGAUCCAGCUGCUGUCUUUUCGAUGCUUUUUGGGAGGCUCAAUUUUGAAGAUUAUGUUGGUCAGCUUGCCGCACUGGCAUCCGCCGAGGCUGCAGGGAGAAAACUAGAACAAGACUUUGAGCUUCCCGACUUGACUUGCACCCCCACACCCACCGAUGUGGAGCUGGUGCAGGACUACCUCCGCCCAGCAAUCCAACGCUUGCCGACGAAACGCUCCCUUUGGGAUUUGUGCUCUGGUCCUCAUCCGCUUGUUAACCCUGACCUCCCUUUCAUGGGCCCGUGGGAACUCCCUGGGAUGAUUGCGCGCAACAAGUACUACCUCACGGAUCAUGAUGCUCUGGCGUCCUGCUUCGAAUUAGGUGGAUUCCGUGAACUCCAUACACCAUAUGGGAUUUGGAAAGUAAAGACAAGCGACAUGGCGAUCCGCGUUCAACACAAUGAAGUUCCACCCGUACACAUACACGCGUUCAACGGACUUGUCGGGGUCAAGAGGACUAUGAAGUUCCACCCGUACACAUACACGGGCAUCAACACCAACUGGACCAUGAACGUCUACUUUUCGUUGAACGGAUUUACCAUGGACGAUGGUUUAGUCCUGUGCCAUGUAUUCGAGACAGACUCUGCUCCCGAGUACGACGACAGCCCCAAAUGCCUCGGAUGCCAUCCAGGAGCAUGCAGUGGAUACCACAAUGGUCAAGCAUUCGGAGCUCCAAGCAACGCUUCAUUCAAUUCAACAUAUCUAGGAUCCAGGCCAAUGCACCAUCAUGACACAGAACGCCGUCCGGACCCAAGAUUAUCCUCUUUCAUGGCACAUCUUGAGAACCUCUUGCUUGGUGACCCUGAUCCUGACAACUCCGCAGAUGCUGGAAACUCUAGUGCAAGAACAGGCGUCCCUCCAACAGCUGAUCAUGGACAGUCGAAAAAGCGCAAGAAGAUCUCAGAUGUUUGGGAUUACUUCACCAAGAUAUUUGCAUGCGACAUCAACGGGAAAGUUUUGACAUUUGCGGCUUGCAACCACUGCUGCAAGGUACUGACAGCCAGCUCCAAGGGUGGGACAACACACCUUGCAAGGCACGCGUGCCCGUGCAAGUUCAAACCAGUAGCAGCUGGCAGAAAUGUCAAGGAUUAA
rnacentral:rRNA from 1 species